UACAGAGGUGGCAAGCGUUGUUCGGAAUUACUGGGCGUAAAGGGCGCGUAGGCGGUUCGCUAAGUUGGAUGUGAAAACUCUGGGCUCAACCCAGAGCCUGCAUCCAAAACUGGCGGGCUAGAGUUCUGGAGGGGGUGGCGGAAUUCCUGGUGUAGCGGUGAAAUGCGCAGAUAUCAGGAGGAACACCGGUGGCGAAGGCGGUUCUCUGGGCAUUACCUGACGCUGAGGAGCGAAAGUGUGGGGAGCGAACAGG
rnacentral:rRNA from 1 species